rfam:Triticum aestivum genome assembly, contig: Triticum_aestivum_CS42_TGACv1_scaffold_374141_5AL
CACAUACUCCCUCCGUCCGGAAAAUACUUGUCAUCAAAAUGAACAAAAGGGGAUGCAUCUAGACGUAUAUUAGUUCUAGAUACAUCUCUUUUUAUCCAUUUUGAUGACAAGUAUUUUCGGACGGAGGGAGUACAUC